AAGGAGGACUAAGAAAGUAGAUCAAGAAAGAUUCAUUGAUGCUACUGAUACUAUCCUCCUACAGAAAUUGGUAGAUGAACAGGCCUGUUUGUAAUCAUUACUCAGGUUCUACUAAGUUUACCAACACUU
rnacentral:snoRNA from 1 species